CGCAGUUAUAGCUGUCAUUAUGUAAAGUGUUAUAGUAUUAAUUUGCUACUAUAAGUUUCAGUCACUACUCAUUUUAAUGUAGGCAACAUUUAUAACCCUGACUUUGGGGGAUCAAAGAUUUGACUAAGCUGCACCUACGUGGCAGUGAACAUGGACACGAAACUGUACGUGGAUCUUCAAAAUGAAACGAGCUGAUGAUUCACGACACUGGGAAAAUUUAGAAGAGACCGCUUGCAGCUGAGUCAAGGUCCGAGUCACGUAGUUGGAACAUUUUGUGCAGCUUCCGUCAUCACGCAGUCUCUGGCUGUGGCUUCCGUCCUCCUUCCAUCAUCACCCUAACAGCUUCGACGUCUUUUGCUGCUGUUUCUUCCUCUUCGUCAGAGUGACGUUUUUUGCUUGGCUCCUUUCCCCCUCCUACUCCCAUCUGCAUCAUCAAGUUCACAGUUUGACGUCCUCCCCUUUCUUUUUCCUGUCGCCAGCUGGUUUUUCCUUUCCUCCUCCUACUUCGUAGCUUUGUGCAGGCUCAAUUGCAGCCCUAAAGUUUGCGUCACCGGUUUUUGCUUGGCAUCUGGUGCAAGAUAGAUUCUCGAAGAAAGGGUAACCUGUAUCCUUUCAAGCUGCAAUUGAUUGUGAGGUUGCUCAUCCCUGGGGUUCUUCCAGUUCCUGAUGCAGAUACUUCCUUUUUGCAGAAGGAAAUGUAUGACUUCAAGUUUGGCUUAACCGAAAUAUGGCUUAUAAAUACACCUUCUAGGAAGGAUUUACAUAAGCUUUUCUCCUGUGUUUUUCUUCAGAUCUCUAUGGUGCUCACCCUUCACAAGACUUCUCCUCCGAAUGUUGUAUGUCAUUCAGUAAAGUUGAGGGUCAUAGUUUUGGUGACCAAAACAUCAAUUCAAAUUAUCCAAGGAUCUGUUGAAUCAUUUUUCUGGUGAGAAUGGCAUCCAUGAACUUGGACUAGGUUGAGACAUUUUUCAUUUAAAUGCUUUCCUAUUUGGAGUGAGGACAAAGUUUGACCAGCAGCCUCUCUUGGAGAAGAUCUUCAAGAAUCUGAUAAAAUGCCAUCAAAGAUGAUGACUCACGAAGCAAUUGGAAAGGUUCAAGGCACUGGCAUGCCAAAGCUGUUUAAGGAAAAUAUUAACGAAAAAAAAGACACUACAGCAAGUUUUCUGAAGAAGAAACCACCCUGGGCUUCCCUUGAGGGGCGGUUUUUUGGUUCUGAAUUUAUUGUGUUGAGUUAUAGAUGUGGCUGAGAUGUCUGGACUUCUUAAUCUAUUAUAGCUGUAGUAACCAAAGUUAUUUGAUUGAGUUGUGUUGCUGAGAUGUCUGGACUCUUUAUUCUUCUCAAGCUGUUAAUUAUGCUUUACAGGUUGUGUGUCUACUGCAUAGCAGCACACUAACCCAUCCUAUCGGACAUGUAUGUUUAUAAUUGAACAACUUAGAACAACUUAGUAUGAGGAUUUUCAUCUGUUCCUUCAGAAUCCAGUUAUCCAUUUUUUUUCUGCACUA